AUUGAACGCUGGCGGCAGGCCUAACACAUGCAAGUCGAACGAGUGGCGGACGGGUGAGUAAUGUCUGGGAAACUGCCUGAUGGAGGGGGAUAACUACUGGAAACGGUAGCUAAUACCGCAUACCAUCAGAUGUGCCCAGAUGGGAUUAGCGUGUUGGUGGGGUAACGUCUCACCAAGGAGACGCACACUAGCUGGUCUGCGAGGAUGACCAGCCACACUGGAACGUGGACACUGUCCAGACUCCUACGGGAGGCAGCAGUGGGGAAUAUUGCACAAUGGGCGCAAGCCUGAGGCAGCCAUGCCGCGUGUAUGAAGAAGGCCUUCGGGUUGUAAAGUACUUUCAGCGGGGAGGCGUUACCCGCAGAAGAAGCACCGGCUAACUCCGUGCCAGCAGCCGCGGUAAUUC
rnacentral:rRNA from 1 species